rnacentral:rRNA from 1 species
AACGAACGCUGGCGGCAUGCCUAACACAUGCAAGUCGAACGAAGCCUUCGGGCUUAGUGGCGCACGGGUGCGUAACGCGUGGGAAUCUGCCCUUGGGUUCGGAAUAACAGUUAGAAAUGACUGCUAAUACCGAAUGAUGUCUUCGGACCAAAGAUUUAUCGCCCAAGGAUGAGCCCGCGUCGGAUUAGCUAGUUGGUGAGGUAAAGGCUCACCAAGGCGACGAUCCGUAGCUGGUCUGAGAGGAUGAUCAGCCACACUGGGACUGAGACACGGCCCAGACUCCUACGGGAGGCAGCAGUGGGGAAUAUUGGACAAUGGGCGAAAGACCUGAUCCAGCAAUGCCGCGUGAGUGAUGAAGGCCUUAGGGUUGUAAAGCUCUUUUACCCGGGUACUGAUAAUGACAGUACC